GAUUGAACGCUGGCGGCAGGCCUAACACAUGCAAGUCGAGCGGAUGAAGGGAGCUUGCUCCUGGAUUCAGCGGCGGACGGGUGAGUAAUGCCUAGGAAUCUGCCUGGUAGUGGGGGAUAACGUCCGGAAACGGGCGCUAAUACCGCAUACGUCCUGAGGGAGAAAGUGGGGGAUCUUCGGACCUCACGCUAUCAGAUGAGCUUAGGUCGGAUUAGCUAGUUGGUGGGGUAAAGGCCUACCAAGGCGACGAUCCGUAACUGGUCUGAGAGGAUGAUCAGUCACACUGGAACUGAGACACGGUCCAGACUCCUACGGGAGGCAGCAGUGGGGAAUAUUGGACAAUGGGCGAAAGCCUGAUCCAGCCAUGCCGCGUGUGUGAAGAAGGUCUUCGGAUUGUAAAGCACUUUAAGUUGGGAGGAAGGGCAGUAAGUUAAUACCUUGCUGUUUUGACGUUACCAACAGAAUAAGCACCGGCUAACUUCGUG
rnacentral:rRNA from 1 species